AAAUGAAGAGGUAGAGAAAUGCUAUGAAUAUAAAGUUUUGAAUCAAUCUAAAGAAAUGUUCCUCUUGACUCCAUAUGUUAAUGUGAACAUGAAAAAAGCUGGUUUAAAACCAGCUGAAAGUGUUGCUUAUAGAAAGCCCCUGAUUGAUAAUAUAUCACUAAAUGCACCCAUAAGAUCUCAAACUAAACUGAAGCCAGAUGAAUAUUCAGGAUUUAAAGAGAAGCACUAUAAAUGUAAUGAAGAUGGAAGAACCAGCAGUGGUUUCCAGUCCUUUAAGAAGCAUGCAAAGAUAAAGGCUGGAGAGAAACCCUGUGAAUACAAGCAGUGUGGGAAAGCUGACUGUGAUCCCAGAGAAAGAACUCACCCUAGAGAGAAGACCUUUGUGUGGUCUCUCCCCGGUGUUUAUACUGGCAUGCCUCUGAAGAAACUGGAAAUCAUGUACACUGUAAUUAGACAGCUUGUCUUCAAAUCCUUGACACUCAUAUGACUUGAGUACAGUGUGAGCUGUGAUGGGUACAUCUAACAAUGAAUGACUGAUCAAGGGCUUUCUACAAACAAGAUUUUCAACUGGGUUUGAAACAGGUAGCUUCAUGUUCACAUCAGAAUCUGGAGUCCAAAAAAGCAUUUCUUCAUGUUGAUGCCAUGAUUUAUUUUGAUGGCCUUCCACUACCUCUUCACAUCUGUAAAACAAAAAUAAUAAACAUUGAAAAAUCCAUCAUAUUAUAAAAUGUUUCCUUAUUAAUGAUUUACCAGGAGGAGAUCUGGUUGGAUCCCCCCUAUAAAUAUUUAACUAUGAAUUUCCUGUACACUCUGAAGUAUGGCUUUAAAACUGCCCUUUCUGAAACAGAAGUCAAUAUGGGAGUUUUAAAAAUGACACAUUUACAUAAUAUUUGAUUUCAUUUUGGAGAAUUGGUACACAUGUAUAUCAUGUUGAUUACUUUUAAUAACCUUUCCUCCAUGACCCUGCCCCUUCCCCCUUCCAUUGAACCUCUUCACCAUCACCAAAAAGCCUCUAUAUUUUCUACCAUCUCUCCUUUAUUUUACUCCUUAAUUCAUAUUUUGU
rnacentral:lncRNA from 1 species